CACUCCCUCUGUUCCGGGGAACCCAGAGUCACAACCCAGGGAGAAGGCUGUGCCCUGUUAUUACUGGUUAUCCCCACUCCACAAGUUGAAUCCACAAACUUGCAGACAGAAAUUCUACGGUAGAGCGUAACUAAGCGUAAGGCUAGGAAUUAGCUUUUCCCCCGGAAAGGCACACAAACCAAAACAGUUUCUUAUUUAAAAUUUAUUUUAAAAGAACAUAAGGAAACAUGCUAAAAUAGCAGGCACUUCUUUAGUAAGUUACAGACAAGAAAAAUAAAAACAUUGUGAAAUCUAACUGGCUUACAUACUCACAACUAAAGCACAAAAGGGAUAGUUAGAGUCCUUUCAAGAUUCCGCAGUUCAGAAGCUUUCGCAGUUCUCCAUCACAAAGGAUGUAAAGACAGCUACUUAGGUGGAACAUCAGCAGCCGGGCGAUUUGCGGAUUGCAGAGCGCACUUUCUCAGCCAUUUCCCAGAUCUUUUAUCCCUGAUUCACACGUGGCGUCGGAACCCCCCAAAACCAAUCAUAACUCUUGAUUAUUUUUAAAUUCUCCAAUGACCGGCUUGCGGGCUAAUCAAUCUAACUUCUGGCAGCUGGGCCAAGUAAGAACCCAGAGCCUAAAUCAAAGGUUUUCCUCCCUUCCGUGGCGCCUCUGCAAAUGCACAUUCCCAGGCCAUCAAGGCCAGAUAACAUCGCUAAGGGAAUGCACGGAACUUGGACCCAGGUGUCAAGCCUUCCAUUAAAUCAGGGGUUUCCUUUCCCAUAAUAAAACUUUCACACCCUGGGUGCCUGUUAGUCUGGGGUUAAAGGGACAGAACUUAUUUCCCAUGGUCCUUGUGGCUUGUUGGUUACCCACAAGGCCUCACUCUCAUUGCUUGACCAAGGAACAGCUUCUAAACGAUACUAACUUUACUACAGGGUCAUAGGAAUAUAAGAAGCUGCCUUAUACCAAGUCAGACGCUUGGUGAAUCUUGCUCAGUAUUGUUGACACUGACUGACAGUGGCUCUCCAGGGUUCCAGACUGGAGUCUUUGCCAGCUUUACAUUGAGACUACAGGGAUUGAACCUGGAACAUUUUGCAUGUGAAGCAUGUUCUCUUCCACUCGUUACCGUCCUAGUUUUGCAAAUACAACUCCUGGGGAAUUUGUAUUUGGUCUUCCUUACUAAAUUCCAUGAAUAGCAACUUAUGAUUUGUAUCCAGUGUUAAUCAUACUCAGAGUAGACCCAUGGAAAUUAAUUUGACAUGACCAACGUAGGUCCAUUAAUUUCAGUGGGUAUCCAUUGAAGUUGAACUUAAUUGGAUGUGACCCCAUGUUGCUAAACACGAGUUUUACUAACUCCCCUAAGGGAAUGUGUUUGGAUUUCCAGUGUUAGUUUAAAGUUAUGUUGACUUACUUAGGAAUUAAAACUAAUAAUUUUGAAGCAAACAACAAACAAACAAAAUCACAGGCUUUGCAUAUAGUGUAUUGUUUUAAAUAAUUCCCUUUAAAACUAGUAGAUACUUUCUGAGAGUGGGUGAGUUCCUGUCUGAAGAAAUUCAGACCUGCCUUCCCUGACCCUCCUUUUCCAUUAGCAGAUGCCUCUACUGAAUCCAAAGCUGUUCCGCAAGCAAAAGGGUAGCAUUAGGAUCCAACCUACAGCAUAACAAAAUAUUUGAAAGGGAAGAAGAGGCAAACAUACAGAGAGAACAUUGGCAUAAUGUUUACAAAACAGGAAGGCGAAGAGCAUCCAUCAUCUGGAUGGAUGGCAUCUCUAAUUGUAUUCCAUUUUAAUUUGGGCUGUUCAAUAAUGCAUUGCGUUAGUCAUCUAAGUUGCAUAUCUUCAUGUUAAGUUGUGUCAAGAAUAAGAUAAUAGUUUAUUACAUCUAAUCAAACCAUCACAGCAUAGUCCUGUGUCUGGUAGAUGAAAAUAGUGCACAGGGUUCUAGAGAGGAAUUCCAAGGGAGUAGCUCAGUACAGUGGAAGUUUCUCUGUGCAGAAAUGAUUUUAAGUAUCAUGUAUCAUAUGGUAUUGAAGCAAUGAUGAUACAGAAUUAGAAAAUUCCUGCAUUACUUGGUGUGUACCCAGACACAUGGGCUUUUAGAACAUCUGCUUGAAAUAUUUAUUGUGUAUAUUUUCUGAGCUUAACAAAGGGGUUAUGCCCAAUAUUCACCAAUCUUUAGCAGACUCCAUUGAAAAUAUCUGAAAUAUGCAUAUGUGUGGGGAAGAAGAGUACCCCUGGUUCUGAUCCCUGAUCUAAUGAACUAAGUAGCUAAAUGACCCAUAAUCCCCUCCACUGCCACCCCCUCCCCCACAUAUGAACAAAGUCCCAUGCCCUAUCCUAGUAAAGUAAACAGGAAACAGGCAGUUAAUAUUGAGAUUCCUGAAAAGAAGGGAAUCUGAGGUCUUUCAGGGCCGUGUACAGCAGGGUAGCCAAUGUGGUGCCCUCCAACAAUAAUUGGGCUACAAAAUUCAUCAUCCCUCACCAUUGGCCAUGUUGACUGAGACUGAUGGGAGUUGUAUUUCAGCAGCUUCUAGAUGGCACCACAUUGGCUGCUUCUGAUGCACUCUGCCUAGGUACCAUCCUUUUUAUGCUCCCUGAGCCUGAGGACACUCGUCUGCUAAGCAGUACAGAGCUUUAUAAGGGCAGCCCUGUGGCCUGGAAUCCCUUACAGAGUCAUCUUUCCAAAUGCACAUUGGAGGGCUGCUGACUUCAUUGGCACAAUAGCUCAGUGGAGUGUGAGGCCCUUGGAGGUACAGGUAUGCUAGCCCCUUGAUGAAGCUUGGGCUUAAGGGCUGCAGUCUUUGUGCAGUCUUGAGCAACUUGGGUUCAGAGAUCUCUGGCUCAGUAGCAGGGCUCUAUGCAUAGUGUUUUCUCAGCCAACAUCACUGGCAACUUCGCCUUUUCAUGUAUUAUUUUUCCUCUGCAGUUUUGUGUGACAGUUAGAAGAUAGAAUCAGCAGUUGUAGCUGGACACAAGGACAUAAAAAUGAGCCACAACAGACCCUUUCAGGCUGCUCUCUUCUUGAUGAAGUCUAAUAGCAACCACAGCAAAGUUUCCCCCUUUCACUCUCUCUGUCUUAGUGAAUGAAUGAAUGAAUGAAUAGCUUGGCCACAGCUGUUAUGGGGAUGAAUGGAUAAUGGUACUACAGAAAACGGAACUAGGAAGAGCUGGAAAGAUGCAAUAACAAAAAAACCCAAAACUAUAAGUAGGGAAAGCUUUAAGAAAUUGUGGGGUGGGAAGCUUUAGGACAGAAAGCACAAAAGCUGGAAGCUGAGGCUUGCUUACGUCCAGCGUCAGAUAGUCAAAGGCAGUAGUAGACAGGUAGGAAUGGUUUGGAGGGGAUUAGGCUUGGGCUAAAGAUAGAAGGCAGUUUUCUCAGAGAGUUGAAGCUUGAAGGCAGUUUGAAAAGGGGAUUACUGCUCAUCAUGUUUACACUCACCCCAAUCUUGCCUCUCAUAAAUAGUUUUUCUGAGUUUUAGCAAUGUUUCAAAUCAAAAGCAAUAGUGGAACAAAAUAAAUGCACGUAUAUAAUGUGGAAAGCAAAACCUUUCUCAAAAUACUUUCAGCUCUCUCAGAAACUAUUAUCUGUCCCCAGCAUAUUCUCCUUGGUCAGCCAAUUGCAGUACUGACAUUCCACUCUUCCUCAAGGGACUUCCUGUUAUCCACUUUGAGACUUCUAUGGUAGGGGAAGCUAUAAAUAUAAAUAACCUUGCUGAAGCAGGGAGGAAAAAAUGGCAGGGUGUGCAUCCACAAAAUGGCAUGCCUCAGUGGCCUUCUUCAGCCCCCAUUAUAAUUGUUGAAGCAUUCCCAGAGCUUUGGAAGAGAGGCUCUUAGAGAAAUUUAUCAAGCUUUUUGACAAACAUAGUUCCUUGAUUCCUAAGAGAACCCCGUUUCAGUGCCUUUUCAAAGCUUUCUGAGGGGAUACAGAGAAUCCCUCACACACAGAGAGAAUUCCCCUUUAGCAUCCAUCCUCAUUCUCUUCGAUUGGCCCACUUCUUCCUCUGCCAUCUCCCUCAGCUUCUCAUCUCUUUCUGUUUACCUCUUUUGGCACACUCUUAUCUCUCUUUCCCUUUCUUUCUCCAUUAUCUUCUUCACCCCACUUCUCUGCUGUGUAGCAGGAAGAGAUUAUGGUGGCUCACAGCAGACAUACUACUACCCCUGUAGCUUUCCCUGUAGUGGGAGGGAGGUCAGCUGUGUGACCUCCAGCUAGACCUGCUGGAUGCCUUGGGGUUGGUAGUGACUAAAAGCUCAAACAAUCCUGGCCCAAAUCUACUAGGGGGCUUUUUGGUUUGUUUGGACAGUAUAGCUUGUGGCCUGGUACUAGAUAUUCAUCCCAUCAAUUUAAUGCUUCCCCCUACAGAGGCAAGGAUGCCCUUUAAGUACCGUAUUUACUGGAGUCUAAUGUACCAUUGAAACUAAUGUACACCUCCAUUUUCAGAACCGAAAAAAGUAUUUGCUGGCGAAUGUAAAUGUGCCGUUGAAUCUAAUUCACACCUUAAUUUUUGCAAUGUAAUUUGGCUGAAAAAGGUGAGCAUUAGAUUUGAGUAAAUACGGUAUAUGGGCUGGGACGAUUGCACUGGCCACAGGGAGUGCAGCUGUGCUCUCACUGGAACCCCACUGGAGGUCACUUCUGUGCAGGAGAUAGGUGCAGGAGAUAGGUUUUAUCAGGUUUUAACAAAUGAGAGAACAUAUCAGCUGGAUUCUCAAAUUCUUUUAUAUUAAGACCAGUAUUAGGGGAUUAACAACUUCUGUUCUGUAGACAGAAAUUUUCAAGGAAGUGUUAUGUUGUUGUUGUUGUUGUUGUAAGAAAGGUAAGCUGGAGGGGAUUUGGGGGGGGGGCAUGUUAGCAAAAAUCCCUAUGGUAUAAAACAGUUGGUUUUCUAAUACUCCCGAGAAACCCAUUCUAUAGUUAUGAGUCACUGGAGAAAAACUUCUGUAGAAAAUCAUUUAUCUUUAACUGAAAGUUAUUUUGGGAAGCUGGGAAGGGUGGGGGAGACUGCAGCAAAUACAUAGAAGGAGAACUGACAUAUGUUUACAUCAUAUGCUUCCUAGGUUUGACUAAGCAUGAAAUUUCCCUUUUGGGAAGGUGCCCUUGGGUACUGAAGAAUGAAGCGAUGGUGCACCUGUUCAGUUAAUGGCCAUCCACAUUCUGAAUAACCUGCUGCAGACACUGUGGGCCAAAUUGCUGCAGGGAGUUGAUUUGCCCUAAUAUGUAUUCUGUUGCAACUAAAAAUACUUUGUAAAAUAUUAGUGCUGUUAUCAGUUUAUUUUAUGUUGGUCUUUACCAUUAUGCUCGGUGUUUCUUCAUGAUAAAAACAUGCAUGUGCCUGUCAAAAAUGGCUUUAAUCUAGAAACAUAUU